rnacentral:rRNA from 1 species
GGGCGCAAKYCUGAUGCAGCCMUGCCGCGUGUAUGAAGAAGGCCUUCGGGUUGUAAAGUACUUUCAGCGGGGAGGAAGGCGUUGAGGUUAAUAACCUCAGCGAUUGACGUUACCCGCAGAAGAAGCACCGGCUAACUCCGUGCCAGCAGCCGCGGUAAUACGGAGGGUGCAAGCGUUAAUCGGAAUUACUGGGCGUAAAGCGCACGCAGGCGGUCUGUCAAGUCGGAUGUGAAAUCCCCGGGCUCAACCUGGGAACUGCAUUCGAAACUGGCAGGCUAGAGUCUUGUAGAGGGGGGUAGAAUUCCAGGUGUAGNCGGUGAAAUGCGUAGAGAUCUGGAGGAAUACC